UGUUAGGGUUUUAAGGUGAAUUUGGGGAAAGAUCCAAGAUUUGCUUCCUACGGAAGAUGCAGUUUAGUGUGGGCCCUGUAGCCGGUGAGCUCUGAAUAAAAGAGAAGUGCAGGUUGAGGUCUACUAUGAUGUUGUUGUAGUAUGUUGGUGUUGUAAGUUUAGCCUUAGCACUUAGAGUGGAGUUUGUCAAAGAGGUGAUAGAAUUCACUCUAGGUGUGGCGGUAGCACCCAGUUUUCUGUUGAUAAGAUGUAAGCUUCCGCAGCGUUUGAUUACGCAUUUGUAAUAAUGUUAAGGUGUAGAAAACCGGGGUGUUACAACAAUGUAUAAAACAAAAGUAAGAAACAAAGAAUUAGAACACACUUAAAUAAUUUGUUCCUUGCGCUUCAAGAAAUAAAAUUAAGAAACGAAGAAUUAGAAGA